rnacentral:lncRNA from 1 species
CCGGCCAGGGUUGCCGUGCAUGUGGCCGGACAGGGCGGGAGAGGACAUCUGGGGUUUUAGGGUCGCACGUGGUGCUUGCAGUCCCCACAAGAGGUUUUCCCCGACGGGUUCCGGCAGCCACGGUGUGCAGGGGGUCCAGGAACGCUGAGAUAAUGGCCCAGGAAGAGGAAGGAACGCGGGUGGCAGCGAUGGGACCUGGGAUGUUGAGGGUGACAGUGGCGAGGCCCAGAACCGGGGGCUGGGCAGGCGGCCUGGCCACAUGAGGAGGGAAAUCCUUGUAUCCGGGGGUCCAUGGCCAGGUAGGGAGGAAGCAGGGAGUCACAUAGAGGGGUGGAAGUGAGUGUAGGGGGAAGGGGCCCUGGCCACGCAGGAAAGGAGGAGAGGGCCCUUGACAGCAGGGAGUCCUGGCGCCUGCAGAGGUGACUGGCAACUGGCAUGCCAGAUUUGAAGUUGGAAAACUGUUAGAUGGCUCAAAAAGUGACUCUCCCGAAGAUGAAGACACGUGUCAAAAUGAUCAAGCACAGACCAUCCCCACCAGCUUCCUUGGUUAUAGCUGAUGAAAGUCUCAGGAGAAUCUCCAGCAGAGAAGGAAUUGCUGUACAAGCAAUAUCUGCCAUUUGCAACAAUGGAUGAAUCUAGAGGACAUUGUGCAGAGUGAAAUUAGCCAGACAGAGAAAGACAAAUACUGCAUCAUCUCACUUAUAUGUGGAAUCUAAAAAAAAAAGUUGAACUCAUAGAAAGAGAUAAUGCUGGUUCCCAGGA